rnacentral:rRNA from 1 species
CCAGACUCCUACGGGAGGCAGCAGUGGGGAAUAUUGCACAAUGGGGGAAACCCUGAUGCGGCGACGCCGCGUGAGUGAAGAAGUAUUUCGGUAUGUAAAGCUCUAUCAGCAGGGAAGAAAUAGCGACCUUUGGGUCGCCAGACGGUACCUGAUUAAGAAGCCCCGGCUAACUACGUGCCAGCAGCCGCGGUAAUACGUAGGGGGCAAGCGUUAUCCGGAUUUACUGGGUGUAAAGGGUGCGUAGGCGGACUGUUAAGUCAGGGGUAAAAGCCGGGGCCCCACCCCCGGCGAGCCGUUGAAACUGGCUGUCUUGAGAUGUCGAGAGGUAUGCGGAAUGCGCAGUGUAGCGGUGAAAUGCUUAGAUAUUGCGCAGAACUCCGAUUGCGAAGGCAGCAUACCGGCGGCGAUCUGACGCUGAGGCACGAAAGCGUGGGUAUCGAACAGGAUUAGAUACCCCCGUA